GCUCAGGUGGUGGAAUUGGUAGACACGCACGCUUGAGGGGCGUGUACCUAUGGUGUAUGGGUUCGAGUCCCGUUCUGAGCACCA
rnacentral:tRNA from 1 species